CCUACGGGAGACAGCAGUGGGGAAUAUUGCACAAUGGCGGAAACCCUGAUGCAGCGACGCCGCGUGAGUGAGGACGUAUUUCGGUAUGGUAAGCUCUAUCAGCAGGGAAGAAAAUGACGGUACCUGACGAAGAAGCCCCGGCUAACUACGUGCCAGCAGCCGCGGGAAUACGUAGGGGGCAAGAGUUAUCCGGAUUUACUGGGUGUAAAGGGAGCGUAGACGGUUAAUCAAGUCAGAAGUGAAAACCCAGGGCUCAACCUAGGGAGUGCUUUUGAAACUGAGUAGCUAGAGUGCAGGAGAGGUAAGCGGAAUGCCUAGUGUAGCGGUGAAAUGCGUAGAUAUUAGGAGGAACACCAGUGGCGAAGGCGGCUUACUGGACUGUAACUGACGUUGAGGCUCGAAAGCGUGGGGAGCAAACAGGAUUAGAUACCCGAGUAGUC
rnacentral:rRNA from 1 species